rnacentral:rRNA from 1 species
UGCAGUCGAACGAUGAUGCCCAGCUUGCUGGGCGGAUUAGUGGCGAACGGGUGAGUAAUACGUGAGUAACCUGCCCUUGACUCUGGGAUAAGCCUGGGAAACUGGGUCUAAUACUGGAUACUACCUCUUACCGCAUGGUGGGUGGUGGAAAGGGUUUUACUGGUUUUGGAUGGGCUCACGGCCUAUCAGCUUGUUGGUGGGGUAAUGGCUCACCAAGGCGACGACGGGUAGCCGGCCUGAGAGGGUGACCGGCCACACUGGGACUGAGACACGGCCCAGACUCCUACGGGAGGCAGCAGUGGGGAAUAUUGCACAAUGGGCGGAAGCCUGAUGCAGCGACGCCGCGUGAGGGAUGACGGCCUUCGGGUUGUAAACCUCUUUCAGUAGGGAAGAAGCGAGAGUGACGGUACCUGCAGAAGAAGCGCCGGCUAACUACGUGCCAGCAGCCGCGGUAAUACGUAGGGCGCAAGCGUUGUCCGGAAUUAUUGGGCGUAAAGAGCUCGUAGGCGGUUUGUCGCGUCUGCUGUGAAAGCCCGGGGCUCAACCCCGGGUCUGCAGUGGGUACGGGCAGACUAGAGUGCAGUAGGGGAGACUGGAAUUCCUGGUGUAGCGGUGAAAUGCGCAGAUAUCAGGAGGAACACCGAUGGCGAAGGCAGGUCUCUGGGCUGUUACUGACGCUGAGGAGCGAAAGCAUGGGGAGCGAACAGGAUUAGAUACCCUGGUAGUCCAUGCCGUAAACGUUGGGCACUAGGUGUGGGGGACAUUCCACGUUUUCCGCGCCGUAGCUAACGCAUUAAGUGCCCCGCCUGGGGAGUACGGCCGCAAGGCUAAAACUCAAAGGAAUUGACGGGGGCCCGCACAAGCGGCGGAGCAUGCGGAUUAAUUCGAUGCAACGCGAAGAACCUUACCAAGGCUUGACAUUCACCGGACCGCCCCAGAGAUGGGGUUUCCCUUCGGGGCUGGUGGACAGG